rnacentral:tRNA from 1 species
AAGAAAGCCUAAAGAACUGCUAACUCUUUGCCCCAUGCCUAAAUGCAUGGCUUUCUUG